GCCAGAUAAGAAGGUAAAUUCCAGUAAAUUCUGAGCAAAGACGUGACCUCUGUAUCUAGAAGUUCUCUGAACCCUGACCUGCAAUAAACCACCCAGCAAGAAAACAGCUCAUUUCUGGAGAAGACUAAGUCAUGGGGAGUCUGAAUUUCAAAUUAAAUAUGGCUGUUACCUAGGAGCAUACAGACAGGGUUUCUCUGUAUGACAGCCCUGGCUAUCAUGGAACUCACUCUGUAGACCAGGCUGGAGUCAGACUGGCAGAGAACUGCCUGCCUUUGCCUCCGGAGUGCUGGGAUUAAAGGCAGGUGUGCCUGCAUGCCUGAGCCCUCAUCCAGUGGCUGCUGGAAGCAGAGAAAGACAUCCACAGAUUCACACUGAACUGAACUCUGGAACCUAGUUGCAAAGAGGGAGGAAUGAAGAUCAAAGGUGUCAGUACCAGGCUAGAGAAACCCACAGAAACAUCUGGCCUGAACAAGGGGGGGCACAUGGACCCCAGACUGCUGUCUGGGAGGCCAAUGUAGGACUGAUCCAGACCCCUGAACAUGGAUGUUAAUUGGGUGGCCUCUAGGGGGGCCCUGAUAGUGGAUUAGUAUUUUUCCCUGGUGUAAGAAGGGACUUUGAGAACCCAUCCCAAGUGAAGGGAUGCUCUCUCGGCCUGGACACAUAGGGGAGGGCCUAGGCCCAUCCCAGGAUGAUGUGGUGGACUUUGAGGAGCCCAGUGAGGGCUCUACCCUGCCUGGGGAGUGUUGGGUUAAUGGGGUAGUGGG
rnacentral:lncRNA from 1 species